UACGAGUGCCCCAAGCGUUAUCCGGAAUUAUUGGGCGUAAAGGGUGUGUAGGUGGCGAUGUUAGUCUUCUGUCAAAUUCUUCGGCUUAACCGGGGGUCUGCAGGGGAAACGGCAUUGCUCGAGGAUGCGAGGGGUCUAUGGAACUCAUGGAGUAGGGGUGAAAUCCGUUGAUAUCAUGGGGAACACCAAAAGCGAAGGCAAUAGACUGGCGCAUUCCUGACACUGAAACACGAAAGCGUGGGUAGCGAACGGG
rnacentral:rRNA from 1 species